rnacentral:ncRNA from 1 species
AAAUAAAAUUUUUAUGUUUUAAAAAAUUUAUUUUAUACUUAUUUUACAUAUAAAUUUUAGUGUGUAAUUAUAUUUAUUUUAAUAAUAAUUAUAAUUCAUUUAGUAGUAAUUAAUUUUAAUAAUUUAAGAAAUUAUGAAUUAGUAAUGUAUUAAUUAUUAACAAAUUUUGUGCCAGCAGUUGCGGUUAUACAAAAAAUAAAAUAAAUUUUAUUAGUUAUAAAUAAAUAUAAAAAUUUUAAUUAAUUUAAAUUAAAUAUUAAAUUAUUAGGUGAAAUUUUAAUUUAAUUAAAUUUUAAAUAAAAAUAUGAUUUUAUAAAUUUUAUAAAAAACUAGGAUUAGAUACCCUAUUAUUAAAAUUUAAAAUUAAAUACUAAAAAAGUAGAUAAUUAUUUAUUGAAACUUAAAUAAUUUGGCGGUAUUUUAGUUUAUUUAGAGGAAUCUGUUUAAUAAUUGAUAAUCCACGAAUAAAUUUACUUAAUUUAAAAAUUUAUAUAUCGUUGUUAAAAAAAUAUUUAAAAAUAAAAAUAAUAUUUAAAAAUUAAAAUAAAAAAUUAAAUCAGAUCAAGAUGUAGUUUAUAAUUAAGAAUAUAAUGGAUUACAAUAAAUUUAUUUAAAUGAAUUUAAAAUUGAAAAAUUUUAUUGAAAGUGGAUUUAAAUGUAAUUUUAUUUAAUUUAUUAAAAUGAUUAAAAAUUAAAAUAUGUACAUAUUGCCCGUCGCUUUCAUUUAUAAAUUGAAAUAAGUCGUAACAAAGUAGAGGUACUGGAAAGUGUUUCUAGAAAGAU